AUACUUACUCCUUAUAAUGAUGGAUAGCUCUAGACAAAUUACUGACUCCCGGCACAGGAAGGUAGUGAUGAAAAUAAUGAUGCAGGGCUCUGUUGAGGCUCCACAAUUAGAAUGGUUACAUUAUAAAUCUGUUAACAUGUAGCAUCUGGAGAGUAAGUUGGGUGUUGGCAACCAGGGUAUCUUUAGCUCCAGCAGUUU
rnacentral:rRNA from 1 species